GGGGGCGAUUAGGAUUCGACGCCGGUAUCAAAGCCCAAGGUGCAUGCCGUGAUGGUAGCCAAUCACGUUAAUCCAAAGCUGCAAACUAACAGUUGCCAAUGAUGACAACUACGGUGCCCAACUCGCUGCGUAAGUAGCCUGUGAAGCACCUUCUAGUGGUUCGCCGCUAGCGGUCUUUAGCAAGGUGCCAGUACCGCGUUACAGACUGUCAUAUAGAACUGGAUAGUUGUGCUGUUUAGAUCGUGACAGCAUUGCGAAACCUAAAGCGAACUCGCUCGCUACGUCCUGCCCGCCGGGCUGUAGAUGAGUUAAAUUAAUUGACGGAAACUAAGCAUGUAGAGCCGCGGAUGGAGAGCUGACGGACGGGGGUUCAAAUCCCCCCGCCUCCACCA
rnacentral:tmRNA from 1 species